rnacentral:rRNA from 1 species
GACGAACCGUGCAAACGUUGUUCGGAAUCACUGGGCUUAAAGGGCGCGUAGGCGGGUUUUCAAGUCAGGGGUGAAAGCCCCCAGCUCAACUGGGGAAGUGCCUUUGAUACUGGAGAUCUCGAGGGAGGUAGGGGCGUGCGGAACUUCCGGUGGAGCGGUGAAAUGCGUAGAUAUCGGAAGGAACACCGGUGGCGAAAGCGGCGCGCUGGACCUCUUCUGACGCUGAUGCGCGAAAGCCAGGGGAGCAAACGGG